rnacentral:rRNA from 1 species
CCGAAUGGGGAAACCCACUUAGGGUAAUGCCUAAGUAUCUAUAUCUGAACACAUAGGAUAUAAGAAGGGAACUUGGUGAACUGAAACAUCUAAGUAACCAGAGGAAAAAAAAUCAAACGAGAUUCCCUUAGUAGUGGCGAGCGAAACGGGAAAAGCCUAAACCCUAUAUGUGUAAGCAUGCAGGCGUUGCAUAUAGGGUGUUGUAGGGUUGUUUAUGAUAAGACUGCUUUCUUGUCCUUAAGUUACAAAUCAUCAUUUUAGUAGAAUAUGUUGGAAAGCAUAACCAUAGAAGGUGAUAGUCCUGUAAGCGAAAAAAUGGUGACUUAAGAAACAAUUCCUGAGUACCAUGGGACACGAGAAAUCUUGUGGGAAUCCGGGUGGACCAUCAUCCAAGGCUAAAUACUAGUGUGUAACCGAUAGUGUACCAGUACCGUGAGGGAAAGGUGAAAAGAACCCCGAGAGGGGAGUGAAAUAGAACGUGAAACCGUGUGCCUACAAGCUGUCGGAGGUUUCUUAUGAGACUGACGGCGUGCCUAUUGAAGAAUGUGCCGGCGACUUAAUGUUAACAGCAAGGUUAAGUUUGAAAACGGAGCCGUAGCGAAAGCGAGUCUGAAUAGGGCGUUUAGUUGUUGGCAUUAGACCCGAAACCUAGUGAUCUAUCCAUGGGCAGGAUGAAGCGAAAGUAACAUUUCGUGGAGGUCCGAACCGUUGUAUGUUGAAAAAUGCUCGGAUGACCUGUGGAUAGUGGUGAAAUGCUAAUCGAACUAGGAGAUAUCUGGCUCUCUCCGAAAUGACUUUAGGGUCAGCCUCAAAUGUUUAAACCUGGAGGUAGAGCACUGUUUAGGCUAGGGGGAUUACCAAUCCUACCGAACUUAGGCAAACUCCGAAUGCCAGGUGGUAUAAUUUGGGAGUGAGACAUAGGGGGCUAAGCUCCUAUGUCAAGAGGGAAACAGCCCAGAUCGUCAGCUAAGGUCCCUAAAAUAUGCUAAGUGGAAAAGGAAGUGGAGUUGCUUAAACAACCAGGAGGUUGGCUUAGAAGCAGCCAUCCUUUAAAGAAAGCGUAAUAGCUCACUGGUCGAGCGAUUCUGCGCCGAAAAUGUAACGGGGCUAAGCAUAUAACCGAAGCUAUGAAAUUCAGUGCUUGCAUUGAGUUGGUAGGAGAGCGUUCUGUAGUAGGUUGAAGUCAAACUGAUAAGUUUGGUGGACGAAGCAGAAGUGAGAAUGUCGGCAUAAGUAACGAAAAGACAGGUGAGAAUCCUGUCCGCCGAAAACCUAAGGUUUCCUGGGGAAGGCUCGUCCGCCCAGGGUUAGUCGGACCUAAGCCGAGGCCGAAAGGCGUAGCGCGAUGGACAACAGGUUAAUAUUCCUGUACUACCUUAUGUUCGCUAUUAGCGAAGGGGUGACGCAGAUGGAUAGGUCAGCCACUUAUUGGAUUGUGGUUUAAGCUCGUAGGAGGGAAGAAUUGGCAAAUCCGUUCUUCCGUUACUCUGAGAAGUGAAUACGACCCGCUUGCGGGAUAGUGAUCGACUCCUCACUGACAAGAAAAACCUCUAGUGAGAAUAUAGGGUACCCGUACUAAAACCGACACAGGUAGGUGGGUAGAGAAUACUAAGGCGAUCGGGAUAACUCUCGUUAAGGAACUCGGCAAAUUAGCCUCGUAACUUCGGGAGAAGAGGUGCCCCAUUAAUGUGAAAGCCCUGCGGCUGGAGCAUGAAGGGGUUGCAGUGAAAUGGCUCAAGCGACUGUUUAUCAAAAACACAGGUCUCUGCUAAACCGAAAGGUGAUGUAUAGGGGCUGACGCCUGCCCAGUGCUGGAAGGUUAAUAGGAUUUGUUAAUGCCCUCGGGUAUGAAGCACCGAAUUGUAUGGGGGCUGACACCUGCCCAGUGCCGGAAGGUUAAGGAAGCUGGUUAGCUUUUAGUGAAGCUGGCGACUGUAUGGGGGCUGACACCUGCCCAGUGCCGGAAGGUUAAGGAAGCUGGUUAGCUUUUAGUGAAGCUGGCGACUGAAGCCCCGGUGAACGGCUGCGUAACAAUAACGGUCCUAAGGUAGCGAAAUUCCUUGUCGGGUAAGUUCCGACCUGCACGAAUGGCGUAACGAUCUCCCCGCUGUCUCAAACUAACAGUGGACUCAGCGAAAUUGAACUGUCUGUGAAGAUGCAGACUUCCCGCGGUUAGACGGAAAGACCCCAUGCACCUUUACUAUAGCUUCGCACUGGCAUCAGGAAUGUGAUGUGCAGGAUAGGUGGUAGGCUUUGAAGCGGGGACGCCAGUUCCCGUGGAGCCACCCUUGAGAUACCACCCUUCGCCUUCUUGAUGUCUAACCGCGGCCCGUUAUCCGGGUCCGGGACCCUGCGUGGUGGGUAGUUUGACUGGGGCGGUCGCCUCCCAAAGAGUAACGGAGGCGCGCGAAGGUUGGCUCAGAGCGGUCGG